GGUGUGUUUUUUUUUUUUCAAGGGAAAGGCACCAUCAACAUAAGUUACUGAUGGAGCCUAAUAUAGCCUAACACUAGUGUUAGCAUUAAAAUGUAAAAUUAAGUAAACCAUUAAAUAUGUAGCAUAUUACAGUUCAAAGAGGCAACAAACAACGGAAAGGAACACUAUUGAAUGCUCCGACCCACAUUGAUCCACUGACUUACUGUGUGAAGUGCUACACAUUCAGGAGAGAAGACAUGCUUCCCUCCCUCACACUGACUGGGCCAAUGGCAUUGGAGAACCGGUGGAGGAGGGAUGAAUAGUAUGAGAGAUGGGGGACGAGACCUUCCUAGAACCAGAAUAAAAGAUUCUAAAACAAAUUACACACUGAUGAAAGCCUCAAAGGGCAGAAUAAGCCAUAAUUGGAACCUAUUAACUGGCUCAUGCAAGACUAAAUAGAAAGAUAAUAUGUCAAACUUUCACUUAAAACCAUUUGUUGGGAUAUGUAAAGUUAACUUUUGCUCUAUCACCCCCGCUGCAUGAAGUAAUUUAAGCCUUAUCUGCUCUCCGGGUCGUCUCAGUUCAGACAGCUCAGCUCUAAAUGGAGCACAGGAGCCGGUGUCUUCCUCUGUGUGUCACACUGCAUAAAAUCUGGGUUAGCUACAGCGCAGCACCCAGGGGAGGCGCUUUUCCCUCUCAUCCUCGACACGUCUCUCUGCCAAACGGACACAGGGGGGGGUAGCCACAGCAUAGUAGUGCAGUGUGUCAGGGCCUGCGGCAUAUGAGAGAGAGUCCUGGCUAGUUUCACCCUUUUUUUUUUCUCCAGACGCAUAGUGAGACACAUGCACAGUCAUGGCUACAAAUACCUUAUACACACAUGCAUGCUGUGGGUGAGGGUAUAUGUUGUGCACACACAAAUGCACAUAGAAACUCACACGUCUCAGCCACCUAAUCUGGUAACAGCAGCCACCUCAGUGGCCAGAGGCUUCGUGGGGGGGCUCCAGUGACACACUCUCCCUGCACAGAUACACACAUUUCCUCCCUCCGUGUCAUUGCACCGUGUCUCUCUUGGCAGUUGUAGCCAUUGGAUCAGACACUUACAAAUUCCUCUCUUGUCGUUUGUGGGCGCGGGGAAGCUGAGCUGGAGCGGUACAACACCUGUUGCAGCAGAGAGAGGAGCGUGUACAGCAAACGGGGCGUAAUUGAAAUACUUGUUUACAUAAUAUCCAGUUAUUGGUGUAAAAAUCUUCAGCUCAAAGAGUAACAUACACAGACAGAUUGCGGACAGGAUUACAAAAAAAAAAAAAAAAAU